rnacentral:rRNA from 1 species
GAUGAACGCUGGCGGCGUGCCUAAUACAUGCAAGUCGAGCGAACGGACGAGAAGCUUGCUUCUCUGAUGUUAGCGGCGGACGGGUGAGUAACACGUGGAUAACCUACCUAUAAGACUGGGAUAACUUCGGGAAACCGGAGCUAAUACCGGAUAAUAUUUUGAACCGCAUGGUUAAAAAGUGAAAGACGGUCUUGCUGUCACUUAUAGAUGGAUCCGCGCUGCAUUAGCUAGUUGGUAAGGUAACGGCUUACCAAGGCAACGAUGCAUAGCCGACCUGAGAGGGUGAUCGGCCACACUGGAACUGAGACACGGUCCAGACUCCUACGGGAGGCAGCAGUAGGGAAUCUUCCGCAAAGGGCGAAAGCCUGACGGAGCAACGCCGCGUGAGUGAUGAAGGUCUUCGGAUCGUAAAACUCUGUUAUUAGGGAAGAACAUAUGUGUAAGUAACUGUGCACAUCUUGACGGUACCUAAUCAGAAAGCCACGGCUAACUACGUG